rnacentral:rRNA from 1 species
GAUGAACGCUGGCGGCGUGCCUAACACAUGCAAGUCGAGCGGCAGCGCGAGUAGUUUACUACUUGGCGGCGAGCGGCGAACGGCUGAGUAACGCGUGGGAAUUUGCCCCAAAGUGAGGAAUAACUGCCCGAAAGGGUGGCUAAUGCCGCAUAUGAUCUUCGGAUUAAAGGAUUUAUCCGCUUUGGGAGAAGCCCGCGUCGGAUUAGGUAGUUGGUGAGGUAAUGGCUCACCAAGCCGACGAUCCGUAGCUGGUCUGAGAGGAUGACCAGCCAGACUGGAACUGAGACACGGUCCAGACUCCUACGGGAGGCAGCAGUGAGGAAUCUUCCACAAUGGGCGAAAGCCUGAUGGAGCAACGCCGCGUGCAGGAUGAAGGCCUUCGGGUUGUAAACUGCUUUUAUGAUUGAGGAAUUUGACAGUAGAUCAUGAAUAAGGAUCGGCUAACUACGUGCCAGCAGCCGCGGUCAUACGUAGGAUCCGAGCGUUAUCCGGAGUGACUGGGUGUAAAGAGUUGCGUAGGCGGUUUGUUAAGUGAAUAGUGAAAUCUGGUGGCUCAACCAUACAGGCUAUUAUUCAAACUGGCAAACUCGAGAGUGGUAGAGGUCACUGGAAUUUCUUGUGUAGGAGUGAAAUCCGUAGAUAUAAGAAGGAACACCGAUGGCGUAGGCAGGUGACUGGACCAUUUCUGACGCUAAGGCACGAAAGCGUGGGGAGCGAACCGG